CUUAACGGUAAAAUGGCCUCCGAUACUGCAGGUCUUGAAUCCAGUAGAGGUUGGUGGAAUUCGUGGUGUAGCGGUGAAAUGCAUAGAUAUCACGAAGAACAUCAGUGGCGAAGGCGGCCGACUGGGCUGGAAUUGACGCUGAGGCACGAGAGCGUGGGGAGCGAACAGGAUUAGAUACCCUGGUAGUCCACGCUGUAAACGAUGUGUGCUAGUUGUGGGCCCCAAAGGGUCUGUGACGCAGUUAACGCAGUAAGCACACCACCUGGGGAGUACGUUCGCAAGAAUGAAACUCAAAGGAAUUGACGGGGGCCCGCACAAGCGGUGGAGCAUGUGGCUUAAUUCGAUGCAACGCGAAGAACCUUACCUGGGCUAAAUCUCAGCCGACCGGUCCUGAAAGGGGCCUUCCCUUCGGGGCGG
rnacentral:rRNA from 1 species